GGGUGUACAGGGCGGAUUGAUCCAUGUGGCUGUUGUCCACACCGUCUUCUUCGCCACCGGUGCAACCCAGUUCCAGCUCC
rnacentral:tRNA from 3 species